GAUAACCAUGGAAGGUCCACGCAGGUAAACGAUGAUUACUAGGAGUUUGCGAUUAUACCGUCAAAGCUUCCACAGCGAAAGCGUUAAGUAAUCCACCUGGGGAGUACGCCGGCAAACGGUGAAACUCAAAGGAAUUGACGGGGGCCCGCACAAGCGGAGGAACAUGUGGUUUAAUUCGAUGAUACGCGAGGAACCUUACCCGGGAUUGAAAUGUAGAUGACGGAUGGUGAAAACCGUCUUCCCUUCGGGGCGUCUAUGUAGGUGCUGCAUGGUUGUCGUCAGCUCGUGCCGUGAGGUGUCGGCUUAAGUGCCAUAACGAGCGCAACCCACAUCGGUAGUUACUAACAGUUUUCGCUGAGGACCCUACCGAGACUGCCGUCGUAAGGCGUGAGGAAGGUGUGGAUGACGUCAAAUCAGCACGGCCCUUACAUCCGGGGCGACACACGUGUUACAAUGGGAGGGACAAGGGCAGCUACCGGGCGACCGGAUGCGAAUCUCUAAACCCUUCCCCAGUUCGGAUCGGAGUCUGCAACUCGACUCCGUGAAGCUGGAUUCGCUAGUAAUCGCGCAUCAGCCAUGGCGCGGUGAAUACGUUCCCGGGCCUUGUACACACCGCCCGUCAAGCCAUGGGAGUCGGGGGUACCUGAAGGGCGUAACCGCAAGGGGCGCACUAGGGUAAUACCUAAGCUGGGCUAAGUCGUAACAAGGUAGCCG
rnacentral:rRNA from 1 species